GUAAAGAGGAAAGACCCUCAACAUCACAAACAGAUCAGGGUGUGUCCAGUGCUGCUGACAAUCCAGAGGUUCCUGCAGGCCAUGCACAGGGGGAUAGUGGUGUGGCAGCCCCAUUUGGCGGGCUCGGACCUAUUGAGGCAGGCGAAGAUUCCUGUGAUGAAGGCCCCUUACCGUCACAUACACAGCACAGUAUGUAUGCUUUACCUUUUUUUUUUUUGUACAGUUUUGUUAAGGUCAUAUUUUGCCCAAAGAGUCUUAUUUAUUUUAAUUUUGU